rnacentral:rRNA from 1 species
UGGGGAAUAUUGGACAAUGGGCGAAAGCCUGAUCCAGCCAUGCCGCGUGUGUGAAGAAGGUCUUCGGAUUGUAAAGCACUUUAAGUUGGGAGGAAGGGCAGUAAGCGAAUACCUUGCUGUUUUGACGUUACCGACAGAAUAAGCACCGGCUAACUCGGUGCCAGCAGCCGCGGUAAUACAGAGGGUGCAAGCGUUCAUCGGAAGUACUGGGCGUAAAGCGCGCGUAGGUGGUUCGUUAAGUUGAAUGUGAAAGCCCCGGGCUCAACCAGGGAACUGCAUCCAAUGCUGGCGAGCUAGAGUAGGGUAGAGGGUGGUGGAAGUACCUGUGUAGCGGUGAAAGGCGUAGAUAGAGGAAGGAACGCAAGUGGCGAAGGAGAUCACCUAGGCUCAUACUGACACUGAGGUGGGAAAGAGUGGGGAGCAAACAGG